AUUCAGAUAGCUUAAAUAAGAGCAUAAUAUUGAAGCUAUUAAGGUGAUUUAUAAAUCUUUGAAUA